CUAGCCUCCAUAGUUCUUCUUCAACGAUAUGUCGCGAGGAUCUCAUGCAUGUCCAUGCUAGUUUGAGCAACUAUUUGUUUUUGCUAUAAACAUAUAGCAUAACAUUAUAGACUGCUCUCGUAAUAUAAAGUCGUUCACCGAUUAUUUGGCAAAAUCACGAGCCCAUGCGGCGGUGUACAGCUAGAACACAAUGACUUGUGUCUUGUAACUUUUUAAUGCACCAGGGCACUGCUGCGAAUGAGGUGGAAUAAUGGUUGAGGUGUAUGGAUCCCGAUCACACUUAGGCCUCCUCCAUCAGCUGCUAGCUCUAAGACUAGU
rnacentral:lncRNA from 1 species